CUGCACUCUCCCUAUGCCUCUUUUGUUUUCUUUCUUCCACUCAUGGCACUUAUUCUUUGUGGCGGUGUUGUUCAGGUUAGAACCAGCAGCUUCACGACCCAGCUGUUGAUAUUAUAUGAUUAUUGGUUUUUUUAAGUUUUUCUUAUAUCUGCAGCAAUUUUAUCUAAAUUGGUAUAGCAAUGUGCCUCGCAAAUUUUCCAAUUAUUUCUACAACAGCAAGAUGUUAUAUAUAGGGAAUCUCUCUUUUAGCUUUUUAACUUUCUAACCAGUUUUGGUUAUUUGGAAACUUGAGGUAUUUGAGCAGUUUGUAUCUACAUCUGAAAUAAUAAAUGUUUCUAGUUUCAGAAUCAGGAUCCAAUGACAUACACUAGUGUGCGAUAAUUGUUGAAUGAAGUGAUUUCGUUACCCAAUAAUUCUGUCACCAAAAGUUCUGCAAGUUCACUGGCUCAAAUAUGGCACCUUGUUAGUGACCAUACCCUAAUCUUUUGAUUCACUGCAUCAUAUUCUUAAAGG